rnacentral:rRNA from 1 species
CAGCCGCCGCGGUAAUACGAAGGGUGCAAGCGUUACUCGGAAUUACUGGGCGUAAAGCGUGCGUAGGUGGUGGUUUAAGUCCGUUGUGAAAGCCCUGGGCUCAGCCUGGGAAUUGCAGUGGAUACUGGGUCACUAGAGUGUGGUAGAGGAUAGUGGAAUUUCCAGUGUAGCAGUGAAAUGCGUAGAGAUCGGAAGGAACAUCUGUGGCGAAGGCGACUAUCUGGGCCAACACUGACACUGAGGCACGAAAGCGUGGGGAGCAAACAGGAUUAGAUACCCGCGUAGUCCCUGUCUCUUAUAC